rnacentral:tRNA from 1 species
GGGGUUGUGGCUCAGUGGUAGAGUGCUCACCUAGCAUGUGUUAAGACCUGGGUUUGAUCCUCAGAACCACA